AGUGAACGCUGGCGGUAGGCCUAACACAUGCAAGUCGAACGGCAGCACAGUAAGAGCUUGCUCUUACGGGUGGCGAGUGGCGGACGGGAGAGGAAUACAUCGGAAUCUACUUUUUCGUGGGGGUUAACGUAGGGAAACUUACGCUAAUACCGCAUACGACCUACGGGUGAAAGCAGGGGAUCUUCGGGCCUUGCGCGAUUGAAUGAGCCGAUGUCGGAUUAGCUAGUUGGCGGGGUAAUGGCCCACCAAGGCGACGAUCCGUAGCUGGUCUGAGAGGAUGGUCGGCCACAUUGGAACUGAGACACGGUCCAGACUCCUACGGGAGGCAGCAGUGGGGAAUAUUGGACAAUGGGCGCAAGCCUGAUCCAGCCAUACCGCGUGGGUGAAGAAGGCCUUCGGGUUGUAAAGCCCUUUUGUUGGGAAAGAAAAGCAGCAGGUUAAUACCCCGCUGUUCUGACGGUACCCAAAGAAUAAGCACCGGCUAACUUCGUG
rnacentral:rRNA from 1 species